UCCGGUUUGUCACCGGCGGUCCCCUUAGAGUUCCCAACUUAAUGCUGGCAACUGAGGACAGGGGUUGCGCUCGUUGCGCCACUUAAGGCAACACCUCACGGCACGAGCUGACGACAGCCGUGCACCACCUGUGCAGGCUCCGUAGAGCGCCGGCUUUCGCCGGCUUUACCCUGCAUGUCAAGCCCAGGUAAGGUUCUUCGCGUCGCAUCGAAUUAAGCCGCAUGCUCCGCUGCUUGUGCGGGCCCCCGUCAAUUCCUUUGAGUUUUAGCCUUGCGGCCGUACUCCCCAGGCGGAACACUUAUCGCGUUGGCUGCGGCACAGAGAGAUUCGACUCUCCCCACACCUAGUGUUCAUCGUUUACGGCUAGGACUAC
rnacentral:misc_RNA from 1 species